UACGUAGGCAGCGAGCGUUGUUCGGAGUUACUGGGCGUAAAGGGUGUGUAGGCGGUUUUCUAAGUUUGGUGUGAAAUCUCCCGGCUCAACCGGGAGGGUGCGCCGAAAACUGGGAGAUUAGAGUGCGGGAUGGGAGAGUAGAAUUCCUGGUGUAGCGGUGAAAUGCGUAGAUAUCAGGAGGAAUACCGGUGGUGUAGACGGCUCUCUGGACCGCCACUGACGCUGAGACACGAAAGCGUGGGUAGCAAACAGG
rnacentral:rRNA from 1 species